AACUAGAUAUAGAUUUUCAAAGAAUUCCGUUUCUAAGGCAACGCAAUAAAUAUACCUAUAAAUAAUGCCUAUACAAAGUUGUCACAUCGUUGAAAUAUAUGCCAUAUAAAGCUGAAUUUCAUUAGUUUUGUUUUUAAAGCGCAGGAGCUUAAAGGGAAAAAUAAAUAUUUUAGUUUUGCUAUAUUUUGGAGCACUACUCUUUAGCGCCUCUCCCAGCGAUUCUCCAGCUGCCAGCCGAAAAGCUCUUCAGUUCAGUGCAAGAAGUUCUAUCAGAUUUUCCUGUCAACACGAAAUGCAACAAAGUGCAAACGCAACAUUUGCCCCGGGGUCAAUGAAAUAAAACGCAAUUGGCCGCCCAGUCAGCGCCCAACCAACCCCCCCGCAAGCGUUUGCAAAGGUAAGCAGAAUUAAGCGCUGCCGGCGAGAGAGCGUGGCAGCAGCAGCAGCAACAGCAGCGAUCGGAGCGUAAUAAGUCAUCAACACAACUCAAAGUAAAAAGAGGCAUAACAAGGCAAACAAGGCAAACAAACCGGCGGACGCAACAGAGCGAUGCGAAGCAAACCAAAGCAAAGGCAGUGAAGCAGCAGCAGCAGCAGUAGCAGCAGAGACAGCCGCAGCGGCAGAGACACUCAAGCGGUUAGCCAGCCGCUCAGUGUGACAGUGAACGUCGUACGUCGUUGUGUUAUGGCAGCAGACGCAGCAAAGUGCUCGAGAAGAAAAAACCAGCAACAACAACAACAACGGCAGCA